rnacentral:lncRNA from 1 species
UCCAUCGGUGCCCCACUGAUCGAAACUUUCUCUGGAGAACCCUGCAUCACAGCUUCCAAUGGUUGGGCUGUGGGUUCGAUGGUAGGAACAUCAUAUUCUUCUUCCUUGACCGCGGGCCCCGUUUCAGCAAUCGAAAUCAUAAUCUGCUUCCUACGAGCCAGAAUUUGCUUAAGUCUCUUUACAUGCUGUGAAUCCAUCUCACUUCAAGGAAUCAUGACAAACAAUCAGUACAAAAAGAUCUAUGGCUACCCGUGCUUUCAAAGAGCAAAUUUAAAGGAGGAAGAAAAUGAAAGACCAUCGUAAAAUGAUGAAAACCUCAAAGAGAUCAUCAUCUGAGUGGUUCCAUCAAUUAUGUCCGUCUGCGUUAGUCGCAUUAGGCUGACAUCACCCACCUUAAAUACAACAGAAGCAGGCGUGAAGGUAGAAGCACUUGGUAUUGGAUUCGAAGCACUUUUGGAGUACUCCUUUCACCUGAUCCUCAGACUUAGGAGUAGGAGGUAGUGUUACGGUGAUUACCGUGAGCACCUCAGAUCAGCGCUGUAUCAUAACACAUGUCAAGUUCUCAGAUCAUUAAUACGAUCACUAAUUAUCGUAUGAGCUGAGUCUAUCUCUAUGCUGAGCUGAGGCAUCUCCAAGGUCUGACCUGUAUAUGAGUUGUUCAGCCGACUUAUCUCUUUGACGUGCGCGACAGCUGUCUAUUUCGAAUAAGAUAAGAUUUGGCAUAACUAUCUUUUCUAAUCUUGUGAGAGUGUUUAAGGGCUAAGUUAUCUCAUCUAAUUUGGUAAGUCCAAUGGUUCGGCAAUCUCGGGAUCAUGCAAUCUCAUAGCUAAUAACCCAAC